UGGUGAUGUUUCCACCAUCGUUGCUUAACUAUUUACAUAAUCAGAAUUACGUAAGUGACAUGGAAAAGCCACUGACUACCUCUGACAGCCAUGAAUAAAAGACAGGGACUAUAACAAAUGUAGUAAUCACAGCCAUGAAUAAAAGUUAGUCACCAAAACAGUAAUCAAUAAGCUGAAACAUGUGGAUCCCUCUUUGGCCCUCUGGCCCAGGGGCUAUUAUCUACAGAACUUUAGCACGUCAGAUGUGUCAACAACAAAGUGUUCCAGAACGGAACCCCCAGUCAGGGUGAAGGUGACAGCAUCUUGUUUUGUGUCUGUAGUUUGUUUCUCAGGAGGACCACCCUGGAUAAACUUCACAUACUGUAGAUAGUGAACCUGGGACUGCCCAGAGAUAAUGCAGAGAUAAUAAAGAAACAGUCAGACUGACACCUGAUCUUUAACUGGAGGGACACAUGUUGCAAGGACCAAACAGCUGUCUUGUUCUUAGAUGUCUGAGGCAUUGACCUGCUCACUGUCUUAGUCUACCUGGUUUCUCCACUGAGGCUUCUCAAGCCAGCAUGAGUGUCUGGAGUACUUUCUGAGGUCCUGGACUCCUCUACGUCUGGAGUAUGCCUGAGGUCCUGGACGCCUCUACGUUGGGAAUAUGCCUGAGGUCCUGGACGCCUCUACGUCUGGAGUAUGCCUGAGGUCCUGGACUCCUCUACGUCUGGAGUAUGCCUGAGGUCCUGGACUCCUCUACGUCUGGAGUAUGUGUGUCGUCGCCCCCCCUCCCCGAGUGUGCGGGAACUCCAUAGUGGGCUGUGUGGGGAAGCUCAGUGUGUCCCCCGGCCAGACACGAAGACUAGAAGCUUCUUGACGGUCAGAGACUCACAUCCCUGAAGAAGACACAAACAAAGACAAUAUGACCUAGGAUGAAUCUUGAGAGGCUGACGUACUUCUCCUAAACAUAAUGCAUUACUAUUCAUAUAUAAAAACAUUCUCUCCUUGAUCUCCUCUAUUAUGCCUGUUUCCAGGACCCAGAUUCAGCCGUGUCCUGGACUAAAAAUCAUCCAUGAUGAUUAAUCAGUUGCAUUGAAGAUUGAUGACAUUUUCCUUACACUCCACCCCAAUAAGCCAGUCCCUCCAGUAGCCAUACGUUAUGUUCUCAGCUAUUCUCUCAUCACUACCGGGGGCUGAGAAGUUCACGUGGAAGAGCGUGAGGUCUACUGCAGAGAGAGGUCUGGCUAGUAAUAUCUGCUUGAAUACAGCAGGAUGCCUCUAGCAAGCCCAAUGUAGCCAGUCCUCCUUUCAUUUGGUUUAAACAACAAAAAGGACAACACAGAGUGAGGGACACAAGAGACUGAGCUCAUAAAAGUAAUUACUGUAAAGGGUUUUAUCUCACAGCAGUGCCAAAAGUGACUAGGCCCAACUCAGCAGUUAUUGUACAAAACAUACUUAAUGGUCCACAUGACAACCAAACAUCCAAAUAGCCCCUCGCAGCAAACCGCACAAUGUCUUCCCUGUCCUCCCAUGUUUGGACAGGGCUGAGGACCCCCAGCGGACGCAGAAUUAAAGACUCCUCCUCCAUGACCUCACUAGCAGCCUCCAGGGUUGUGGCCGCCUUAAGCUGUGGGUUGAAUGACACGAUAUCACAAUGCAAAUCACAACCCCAGGCCUGUAUUCACAAAGCAUCUCAGAGUAGGAGUGCUGAUCUAGGAUCAGUUUCCCAUUUUAGAUCAUAAUGAAUAAGAAUAUACAGGUCACUGCCAAAAUAAAGGAAACACUUACUGCCUUUGUCAGUCGAUAGGAACAUUCGCCCGAGCUAUUUAGGAGGGAUAUCACACCUGGCACAAAUGGUUGUCUAGUUCUGUUUUUCCUGCUGAGGGGUGCUCUAUACCUGCGCCCAGAGGGGAGUAGUUCAACGUCCAGGUACAGGGGGUGGCUUGGGUCUAAAAUGAUUUUGUGAGCCUUGUGGAGGGCCCUGACCUUAAAGAUCUCAUCCAGACCUGUCUGUUUGACUCCAAGUACCUUGCUUGCUGUGGUAAUAAUCCUUCUCAGCAUAUUUCUCAGGCUGACAGUGGCAUUGCCAAACCAACAAACAUGAAAACAAUGUAAGCCAUAUGAUGUGUCCGUCUCAGUCACCAGAUCUCAACCCAAUUGAACACAUAUGGAAGAUUCUGGAGCAGAGCCUGAGACAGCAUUUUCCACCACAAUCAACAAAACACCAAAUGAUGGAAUUUCUCAUGGAAGAAUGGUGUUGUAUCCCUCCAACAGAGUUCCAGACACUUGUAGAAUCUAUGCCAAGGUACACUGAAGCUGUUCUGGCUCGUGGUGGCCUAACGCCCUAAUAAGACACUAAUUAUUGGCAUUUCCUUUAUUUUUGCAGUUACCUGUAUGUACAGGAAGGACCUGAUCCAAGAUCAGAACUCCUAGUCUGAGAAGCUAUGUGAAUACAAGCCCAGGGCUCAGGCUACAAACACAAACCAAUAUAUACGGCAAAGAACACAUGAACAUGUCACAUGCCUUCUCCAGCCUGGCUCGUAUUUCCUGGUGUGAUCUCGUCCAGGGCCACAGGAGCAGAGGGAAGACCACAGAUCAUGUCAAACGUUCUCCUGGACAGGAAGUGGGGCCAUAUCUCACCACUCAGACACUGGUCAUGCUCUCCACCAGCCUGUACAUUAUCCCAGGCUGAAACUAAAACAUGGUACAAGUUAAUACCACCUUAUUAAAAUAAGGGGGGUUUUUACUAUGGAAAGCACAUAAGAGGCCACCAAUCUAUGUAGUAAUAUACCAUAUAAGACCUUAUAGUUCACUCUGCUUGGAAUACACUGAAAGUGAUACAACAGGACAGUGUUCUAGGAUUAGAUAGAAAGUGUCAUAUUUGAACAUAUAAACAGUGCGAUCUUACAAUACUAGUGCAAUACUAGGCUUUUGCAGUGGUCUGGCCCCUGGAACAAACAACAGUCUUGGAUGGCUGCCAUCAACAGCCGAAUGAACUCCUGUGUUUAACCAUGUUGGUCGACUGACCCCUCACAUUGAACCUCUGAGGUUGAAUAGUUUCCAGCUGAAUGCCUUGGUGGCAGAGCGGAGUACGUCCUUUCGUAAAAUAAUCGGCGUGUUCUCUUCCAUGUUCUCCGGAUGGGACACCUGGGAGGCCACGGCAGACAGCAGUGUACCUGUAGGGGAACC
ensembl:lncRNA